AUGGUGAGGGGCAAGAUUGUGAUUAGGAGGAUUGAGAACAUGAGCAGCAGGCAGGUCACCUCCUCCAAGCGGCGUCGUGGCCUGCUGAAGAAAGCACGUGAGCUGGCCAUCCUCUGCGAUGUCCAGGUCGGCGUCAUCGUCUUCUCCUCCACUGGUUGCCUCUACGAAUAUGCCAAUCCACCGCCACCACCAACAUGGGCAUGA
rnacentral:rRNA from 1 species